rnacentral:misc_RNA from 1 species
AAGUCGUAACAAGGUUUCCGUAGGUGAACCUGCGGAAGGAUCAUUAACACGUAUCCAAACAUUAAAACCAAAAUGGCGGAAAGUGUCAUUCCAAAAACAAAAAUGGCGGAAAGUGUCAUUGAUUGUGCAAGGAUAGCGCUUCUACGAUUCCUGUAGACCGUACACUCGGGCAGGAGCUUUGCCAAAGGGUCCCCAUGCCCUCUAAUAACCCCACAGUUUAAUGUGAAGCUCAAUGUAAUACAUUGGGUAAAAAAACCCGAACAACUGUUAACAAUGGAUAUCUUGGUUCUC